rnacentral:rRNA from 1 species
GAUGAACGCUGGCGGCGUGCCUAAUACAUGCAAGUCGAGCGAACAGAUAAGGAGCUUGCUCCUUUGACGUUAGCGGCAGACGGGUGAGUAACACGUGGGUAACCUACCUAUAAGACUGGAAUAACUCCGGGAAACCGGGGCUAAUGCCGGAUAACAUUUAGAACCGCAUGGUUCUAAAGUGAAAGAUGGUUUUGCUAUCACUUAUAGAUGGACCCGCGCCGUAUUAGCUAGUUGGUAAGGUAACGGCUUACCAAGGCAACGAUACGUAGCCGACCUGAGAGGGUGAUCGGCCACACUGGAACUGAGACACGGUCCAGACUCCUACGGGAGGCAGCAGUAGGGAAUCUUCCGCAAUGGGCGAAAGCCUGACGGAGCAACGCCGCGUGAGUGAUGAAGGUCUUCGGAUCGUAAAACUCUGUUAUUAGGGAAGAACAAAUGUGUAGGUAACUGUGCACGUCUUGACGGUACCUAAUCAGAAAGCCACGGCUAACUACGUG